ensembl:snRNA U6 U6 spliceosomal RNA
GUGCUCGCUUCGGCAGCACAUAUACUAAAAUUGGAACAAUGCAGAGAAGAUUAGAGUGGCCAUGAGCAAGGGUGGCAUGCAAAUUUGUGAAGCGUUCCAUGUUUAA